CUGGGAGAUGCCCCUGACGUUAAAACAAAACUUGGAGCUAGAGAUGGAAUCUGGGCACGGAAAAGGGGCGCGUCCCCACACUGCCUGCAGAGCCGCACCCAUGGUGUCCAGAAGCUGCUCGGGAUCAUGAGGGCUCCGGGAUCGAACCUGGGGUAACUAUGUGCCAAGGAAGUGCCCUGCCCACUGCACUAUCGCUUGGGCCCCCUCGGAGCUCCAACUCUAAGACACCCCGCCUGUGCCACCAUAGGCUGAGUGGAGGAGAAAUUGAGUCAAAGAAGGAGAAGGCCAAUGCAGAUGAAGAUGGAGACCGGAAGCAGCUCCAAGCCAAGGAGGGCUGAAGGUGCUCGCACUGUGCCAGGAGUCUGCGCCAGCAGCUCUGCCCGCACCCUGACCCUGCCCUUGUCCCCGAGAGCGGUGAGUGCCCACAUUCCUCCCGUGCCACGCCACUUCAUAUAUGGCUGCGAUGGCAGGAAACUGCC